CAAGACCUUGCGCUCUUGAAACGACCAAUGUCUAAUUAGCUAGUUGGUGAGGUAAUGGCUUACCAAGGCGACGAUCAGUAGCUGGUCUGAGAGGACGACCAGCCACACUGGGACUGAGACACGGCCCAGACUCCUACGGGAGGCAGCAGUGGGGAAUUUUGGACAAUGGGGGAAACCCUGAUCCAGCCAUGCCGCGUGAGUGAAGAAGGCCUUCGGGUUGUAAAGCCCUUUCAGCCGGAACGAAACGGUCACGGUUAAUACCCGCGACAACUGACGGUACCGGAAGAAGAAGCACCGGCUAACUACGUGCCAGCAGCCGCGGUAAUACGUAGGGUGCGAGCGUUAAUCGGAAUUACUGGGCGUAAAGCGUGCGCAGGCGGUUUUGUAAGUCAGAUGUGAAAUCCCCGGGCUUAACCUGGGAAC
rnacentral:rRNA from 1 species